rnacentral:rRNA from 1 species
GAGUUUGAUCCUGGCUCAGGAUGAACGCUAGCGGCAGGCUUAAUACAUGCAAGUCGUGGGGCAGCAGGGCUGUAGCAAUACAGUUGCUGGCGACCGGCAAACGGGUGCGGAACACGUACACAACCUUCCUUCGAGUGGGGGAUAGCCCGGGGAAACCCGGAUUAAUACCCCGUAACAUAUUGGAGUGGCAUCACUCUAUUAUUAUAGCUUUAUUGCGCUUGAAGAUGGGUGUGCGGCUGAUUAGGUAGUUGGCGGGGUAAUGGCCCACCAAGCCUACGAUCAGUAACUGGUGUGAGAGCACGACCAGUCACACGGGCACUGAGACACGGGCCCGACUCCUACGGGAGGCAGCAGUAAGGAAUAUUGGUCAAUGGACGAAAGUCUGAACCAGCCAUGCCGCGUGGAGGAUGAAGGUCCUCUGGAUUGUAAACUUCUUUUAUCUGGGAAGAAACCCAUGGAUUCUUCUGUGGUUGACGGUACCAGAUGAAUAAGCACCGGCUAACUCCGUGCCAGCAGCCGCGGUAAUACGGAGGGUGCAAGCGUUAUCCGGAUUCACUGGGUUUAAAGGGUGCGUAGGCGGACAGGUAAGUCAGUGGUGAAAUCUCUGGGCUUAACUCAGAAACUGCCGUUGAUACUAUUUGUCUUGAAUAUCCUGGAGGUAAGCGGAAUAUGUCAUGUAGCGGUGAAAUGCUUAGAUAUGACAUAGAACACCGAUAGCGAAGGCAGCUUACUACAGGAUGAUUGACGCUGAGGCACGAAAGCGUGAGGAGCAAA